rnacentral:misc_RNA from 1 species
AAAAAAAAAAAAAAAAAAAAAGAGCCCAGAAGCGCACUUCCUUUAAAUAUCAAACAGUUGUCUACCCUCAUCCUUCUUUUGCAGCCUCUCCUCUCCUCUGUCUCCUUCUCUACUGGAAAUUGAACGCUGGGAGGGGAGAAGAAGAAGACAAGAGGAAAAGAAGAGGAGGGGUUUAUAACUCAUCAGAUCAAUAUGCAGCAAAGCAACGGUCCUGAUCUGACCUCAGCACUGCCGACGCCGCCGACGCCUC